rfam:Triticum urartu cultivar G1812 contig673881, whole genome shotgun sequence.
CUUGUACUCCCUCCGUUCGAAAAUACUUGUCAUUGAAAUGGAUGUAUCUAGAUGUAUUUUAGUUCUAGACACAUCCAUUUUGAUGACAAGUAAUUCCGGACGGAGGGAGUACUUG